rnacentral:misc_RNA from 1 species
UGCUGACAGUGGCUAGCUUGGUAAG